CUACGUGCCAGCAGCCGCGGUAAUACGUAGGUCCCGAGCGUUGUCCGGAUUUAUUGGGCGUAAAGCGAGCGCAGGCGGUUUGAUAAGUCUGAAGUUAAAGGCUGUGGCUCAACCAUAGUUCGCUUUGGAAACUGUCAAACUUGAGUGCAGAAGGGGAGAGUGGAAUUCCAUGUGUAGCGGUGAAAUGCGUAGAUAUAUGGAGGAACACCGGUGGCGAAAGCGGCUCUCUGGUCUGUAACUGACGCUGAGGCUCGAAAGCGUGGGGAGCGAACAGGAUUAGAUACCCUGGUAGUCCACGCCGUAAACGAUGAGUGCUAGGUGUUGGAUCCUUUCCGGGAUUCAGUGCCGCAGCUAACGCAUUAAGCACUCCGCCUGGGGAGUACGACCGCAAGGUUGAAACUCAAAGGAAUUGACGGGGGCCCGCACAAGCGGUGGAGCAUGUGGUUUAAUUCGAAGCAACGCGAAGAACCUUACCAGGUCUUGACAUCCCGAUGCUAUUUCUAGAGAUAGAAAGUUA
rnacentral:rRNA from 1 species